rnacentral:rRNA from 1 species
UACGUAGGGUGCAAGCGUUAAUCGGAAUUACUGGGCGUAAAGCGUGCGCAGGCGGUUGUGCAAGACCGAUGUGAAAUCCCCGGGCUUAACCUGGGAAUGGCAUUUGGGACUGCAAGGCUUGAGUUUGGCAGAGGAGACUGGAAUUCCUGGUGUAGCAGUGAAAUGCGUAGAUAUCAGGAGGAAUACCGAUGGCGAAGGCAGGUCUCUGGGCUAGAACUGACGCUCAUGCACGAAGCGUGGGGAGCAAACAGG